UUUCCGUAGGUGAACCUGCGGAAGGAUCGUUAAGGUUAUAGUCCCCCGGCCCUCUGGGCUGGGGUCUUCUAUACCACCCUUUGUUUAUUACACCUUUGUUGCUUUGGCAGGCCUGCCCUCGGGCUGCUGGCUCCGGCCGGCUCGCGUCUGCCAGAGGACCUAAACUCUGUUUGUAUAUGAAGUCUGAGUACUAUAUAAUAGUUAAAACUUUCAACAACGGAUCUCUUGGUUCUG
rnacentral:misc_RNA from 1 species